UAGUAAGAAGUAAAACAUUACAUUUAAUUUCGACCUAAAAUAUGGCUAUUAGCCCUUACUUU
rnacentral:tRNA from 1 species